UUUCCGUAGGUGAACCUGCGGAAGGAUCAUUAAAAAAUGAGACCUGAUUCAAGGUCUAUUAACAAUCCUACCCUUUGUGAAUUUGUUUUGUUUUAAUAUGUGUCUUUCCCUGGUUUUUGAUGGAGCUUGUUUUAAAGCAAAAUCAAUCCAGGGGAAUGGCAAAACUUUUUUUAAAUUAAACUUUUUGUAUUCAUUUGUCUAAAAUUAUUUUUAUAAUAUAAAAACAACUUUUGACAAUGGAUCUCUUGGUUCUCGCAACGAUGAAGAACGCAGCAAAAUGCGAUAAGUAGUGUGAAUUGCAGAAUACGUGAAUCAUCGAAUCUUCGAACGCAUAUUGCACUUUUUUAGUUUACUAAAAAGUAUGUCUGUUUGAGUAUCAGUAAAAUAUUCUCAUAAAAACUUUGUUUUUUAUGGUUAUGAGUGUUUUACAACGAUACAAGUUGUUUCACUUUAAAUUCUUUGUCUUUUAAAAAAUCAUUAAAAACUGAUUUUUUUUUUAAAAAUUGGAUAAAAUUUUCCCGUAAAAAGGAAUAACCUAAACAAUUUUAAAAUUAAAUUGGUUUGAUUUCUUUUAAGAAUCAAAGGAAGAAAAAGUAAAAAUUAACUUGAUCUCAAAUCAGAUAAGAGUACCCGCUGAACUUAAGCAUAUCAAUAAGCGGAGGAAAAGAAACUAACAAGGAUUCCCUUAGUAACGGCGAGUGAAGCGGGAAGAGCUCAAAUUUGAAAUCUUCAAGGUUUACCUUGACGAAUUGUAGUUUAAAGAAGUGUUUUCUGUUGGAGUUUUGGUAAAAGUUCUUUGGAAUAGGACAUCAUAGAGGGUGAGAAUCCCGUAUUUGACCAUUAUUUCCAACUUUGUGAUACACUUUCAAAGAGUCGGAUUGUUUGGGAAUGCAGUCCAAAAUGGGUGGUAAAUUCAUCUAAAGCUAAAUAUUGGCGAGAGUCCGAUAGCGAACAAGUACCGUGAGGGAAAGAUGAAAAGAACUUUGAAAAGAGAGUUAAACAGUACGUGAAAUUGUCAAAAGGGAGCGUUUGACACCAGUGUUGUUUUCUCGAAAAUCAAUUAAAAAGGUGGGAUUUUGUGUUGUAUUGACUUUAUCAGCUUUCUGCACUUUUUUCUAUCUUUUUUAAUGCACUUUUCGUUUAACAAGUCAACAUCAAUUUCUUUUGUUGUAAAAGAGUCAUUGGAAGGUGGCUUUCUUUUCGGAGAAAGUGUUUAUAGCCUUUGGCUUCUGCAAUCGGAGAGAUUGAGGUCUGCAGCGUAGAUCCUUCGGGUUAGAUACAUUUGUGCUAAGUUAUAGCCUUUCAUAGACAACUUGUUGACUAUGAUCAGUCAUGUAGCUUACUCGCUUAUGCAUUU
rnacentral:misc_RNA from 1 species